rnacentral:rRNA from 1 species
AUAAAUUUUUAGGUUGAAAAUAAAAUUUUUAUUGAGUGUGAUCAUGGCUCGGAAUUAACGCUGAUUAGAUGCAUUACACAUGCAAGUUAAAUUAGGUUUAUAAAAAUUUAUAAACUAAAUAGCGUCUAGGUGAGUAAAUAUAAGUUAAUACCUUUAAGUAUAUAUAGAUAAUAUAUAUAUAUAAAUACAAUUUUAAUUAAUUAU